GUAACUACAUUGAGAAAUUCAAAUGGAAAUACUUUGAAGUUUUGAAGGGAGGCGGGUUUCUAAAAAGUUUUCAACUUUAGAGGCCGUUUUCUCUGAUUGCUAUUUUUUGCUGGUAUAGCAGCGAGUGCUACUUCGUGAAACUGCUGACGAUUUCUUUCUUAAUUUUUUUUGCCAACCACAUUUUCAAUUUGAAGAAAUAAUAAAGUGAGUGAUAUAAAUUUCAUGUUGUAGUUUGUGUGUCUCGAAUAUUAAGGAGGUUGUAAAGUAUGUUAUUAUCAAGCAUUGUUAAAUAUAACCUUUUUUUAAUAGGAGGCGUGGUACAGUUCGUGUAGAGGAAGGCACUGCGCCACCGGGUUUUUAGAAGAGAGGCGAAGACAUGUUCGGAAGAGAGGCAAAAAGAAUGGUGCUACAGUUCUUGUAAAAGUUAACAUUGUCAACUGGCUUCACCGAAGAAAGACUAAGAAAUGUAUCCAGAAACGACACAACUCACAAAGAAAUAUUCACAUGGGACAUAGAUGUUCCAAGCAGCACUUAAAAGCUUCGGUAUAUGCUACUUCAUGGUGAAUCUCAGAGAUUUUCUGGAUAAUCGAAUGAGACGUGGUGUGUGACAAGAACCCUGCCAGCCAAGAGCUAAAGAUGAGAAUUUUUCAAGACCCUGAAGAAUUUCCACAAGUUGGACUCUCUAUCGAUAUGAUGCAGAUGAUGGAGUGCCAUAGAGACAACCAAAGCAGCUUUGAAGACCAGAAGCGUCUGUAAAACUCGCCAUGGCAAAGGCCAUAGUUCAGGAGUUUCCACUACUUCAAGAUGAAGACGGUGAUGGCCAUGUAAGUUGAUACUAUGUCUUAGUAAACAAAUUUUGAAGCAUAACUACACCCUAGAUUUAAAGUGUUUUAUUUAUCAUUAGGCAAACUUUAUUCAAAUAGACAAAUUCAAACUUCUUGACGCACUGUUCUUUGCGAAUGAAUACAACAUUUCUUUCUUAAAUUUUUUUUGCCAACCACAUUUUCAAUUUGAAGAAAUGAUAAAGUGGGUGAUAUAAACUUCAUGUUGUAGUUUGUGGGUCUCGAAUAUUAACCAGUUGUAAAGUAUAUUAUUAAGCAUUGUUAAAUAUAACUUUUUUUUUAAUAGGAGGCGUGGUACAGUUCAUGUAAGGGCAGGCACUGCGCCACAGGGUUUAUAGAGGAAAGGCUAAGAAAUUAGCACCUGUUCGAAGUUCUCAGCUCAAGAUGAUACAGUUAAAUUGAAAUUUAUAGACUUAGUAGUUUUAAAUAAAUGCUACACUUUAAUGUUUAAGAGGCCCUGGUGGGGAAAAAAACUUGAGCUUCAGAGUAUACACUCUGCAAAAUGAUGUAUUUUUUAUUGUAUUGUAUUUAUGUUAAGAUUGUACAAAAUUACAAACAUUUCAGGUAGUCAGGGACAUCUUAACGGCUGAUGGUUGUGAACAAAUUAUGCAAGAAAUGGAUAAUGGCGAAAUUAGCCGAAAGUCAAGAAUUAAAGUUGUUAGAAUACUAGUGUCCUACUUAAUGGAACACCAUGGCGAAAGAACAUGCAGUUGUUGAAGAGAGCUUUUUGCUUCUUGAUAUGUGCUACGAGUCGCCGAAGGAGUUUAUGUCCCUGGAUAAA